ACAUUAAAAGAUAAAAAGGCUAAGGAAUUAUUUAUAAGUUGUAGAGUUAUUAGUAUUAGUAGCAGUAGUUUCUUAGUCCAGAACAUAUGCAAUUGCCUGCGACUUUAAAUCAGAAAGCGGCGAUUCUUCGUGGGGGCACCUAAUUUUCCUCUGGCCAAUCAAAUGUCUUUACUUUUACACAUAGCGACGGUAGCAGCCAAUAGGAGCAUCUCAUGUGAGGAAGCCGAAGACAUGGCGCUGCGCAUAGGACGUGCUUGCAGAAGAGAGUCCGUGUUCCACAAAGCAAACUGAGGUGGCUCGAAAGGAAAUUUGAACACAUGGCUAACUGCACAGGCUGGACCCAAUUCCGAGGCCGGUGAGCGGUGUGUGUGUGUGUUUAAUGGAGAGCCGAGAGCCACUG
rnacentral:lncRNA from 1 species